rnacentral:rRNA from 1 species
GGGGGAUAACUAUUGGAAACGAUAGCUAAUACCGCAUAAUAUUGAUUAUUGCAUGAUAAUUGAUUGAAAGGUGCAAUUGCACCACUACCAGAUGGACCUGCGUUGUAUUAGCUAGUAGGUGAGGUAACGGCUCACCUAGGCGACGAUACAUAGCCGACCUGAGAGGGUGAUCGGCCACACUGGGACUGAGACACGGCCCAGACUCCUACGGGAGGCAGCAGUAGGGAAUCUUCGGCAAUGGACGAAAGUCUGACCGAGCAACGCCGCGUGAGUGAAGAAGGUUUUCGGAUCGUAAAGCUCUGUUGUAAGAGAAGAACGGGUGUGAGAGUGGAAAGUUCACACUGUGACGGUAUCUUACCAGAAAGGGACGGCUAACUACGUGCCAGCAGCCGCGGUAAUACGUAGGUCCCGAGCGUUGUCCGGAUUUAUUGGGCGUAAAGCGAGCGCAGGCGGUUAGAUAAGUCUGAAGUUAAAGGCUGUGGCUUAACCAUAGUACGCUUUGGAAACUGUUUAACUUGAGUGCAGAAGGGGAGAGUGGAAUUCCAUGUGUAGCGGUGAAAUGCGUAGAUAUAUGGAGGAACACCGGUGGCGAAAGCGGCUCUCUGGUCUGUAACUGACGCUGAGGCUC